GAUGAACGCUGGCGGCGUGCUUAACACAUGCAAGUCGAGCGAGAAGUUUUGAAAAGAUUCUUCGGAUGAAAUUUAAAAUGGAAAGCGGCGGACGGGUGAGUAACGCGUAGGCAACCUGCCCCAUACAAAGGGAUAGCAUUUGGAAACGAAUAUUAAUACCUUAUGAAACUUAACUAGUGCAUGCUAGGUAGGUCAAAGAUUUAUCGGUAUGGGAUGGGCCUGCGUCUGAUUAGCUAGUUGGUGAGGUAACGGCUCACCAAGGCGACGAUCAGUAGCCGACCUGAGAGGGUGAACGGCCACAUUGGAACUGAGACACGGUCCAAACUCCUACGGGAGGCAGCAGUGGGGAAGAGUGCACAAUGGGGGAAACCCUGAUGCAGCAACGCCGCGUGAACGAUGAAGGCCUUUGGGUCGUAAAGUUCUGUUCUAGGUGAUGAAAACUGACAGUAACCUAGGAGAAAGCCCCGGCUAACUCCGUG
rnacentral:rRNA from 1 species